rnacentral:rRNA from 1 species
AGUCACUGACAUUAGAUACCCCUGUAGUCCAGGGUGUAAACGCUGCAGACUUGGUGUUGGAGGCCCUUUGGGGGCAUUCAGUGCCGGAGAGAAGUUGUUAAGUCUGCUACUUGGGGAGUACGUCCGCAAGGAUGAAACUUAAAGGAAUUGGCGGAGGAGCACCGCAACGGGAGGAGCGUGCGGUUUAAUUGGAUUCAACACCGUAAACUCACCAGGGAAGACUGUUACAUGAAGGCCGAGAUGAAGACUCUGCUAGAUUUUCAG